AGGCAACCUCCUUGCUACAAUUAUAUGGCAUGAGGGGUGUUAUACUGCUCGUAAAUCAAUUGCUUUUGCUCUUCAGAUUUGCUGAGAUUAUCUCUGAAGCUGGUCUAGUAAGCUCUAGUACAAU